GUUGACUGUGGCCUUAAAUGGUUUCGCUGUAAAUGUUUACUGCAUUUUAAAAACUGGAGCCAAAAACUAUACAAGCAGAGUGCACUAAUACUAUGAAGCCAUCUAAAAAUACAAAAAUACAUUUUACAUAUACAAACAUUUCACUCUUCUUGGGCACCAAUUCACCAAGCCUUUUUAAAUAUAUAUGGUAGUGAAAUCAUGCGAGUGUAAUUUAGAAAAUGCACUGUGCCAAAUACUGCUAAAAUGAACACUAGUAUUGGCGUUUUAUUUUGUUUGACGAUAUAAGGUCCUCGGAAUCAUAGAUGUUGCAGUCAGAGUGUGUCUGAUGUGAUUCACGGUUACUACAAGCUGAUAUUCUGUAAUACCAGUCUAUGAUGCUGUACCAAUUAAGUUCACUGAAUUGAUUAUAUAUUAUCUUUUUGUGCCUUUGUGAUGAUGGACCUUUGAUGAGGAUGCAUGUACAUGUACUGCAUGUACUCCCGUAAAAUUUCACUAUGGUGCAUGUUUUUCACAGGUGCUCUGGCAGCAAACUACCAUUACAUGGACAGCUACGGUAUGGUACGGGAUAUGAAAACUAUUCCUCACUCCUAAAUGACCUUUGGUUUAAGGUUUAAGUGGCCCUGGAUUUGGCUCCAUCCAUCUUCCCAUGAAGUCUAUCUUCCUUGUCCCUGCUGAAGAAAAGUAGCCACACACCAUGGUGCGAAUGAACAUCUGGAGGUGACAGGGAGUCUCGAAGUAAGUUUGUCACAUGUCACUUUUGGAAAGCAUAGUGGUUCAAUAGCUUUGAAAGUGCCACUGCUGGAAGUCAAAGUAGGCUGCACUUUCAAUGUUUAAAAUGUUAAAAAAUAAUACAAGCAUUAAAAAACAAAAUAUGUUUGCUAUGA